AUGGUGUUGAAGAUGGUGCAGAAACUUAAGAGGCAAGCCCUAAAGAAAAGUCCUUACAUCACUAGGGCCUCUGCUCCCAGAAGGGGGUACUACUCUGCUAGAGGGAAUUCUCAAGAGAAUGAUUUGGAUGGCUACAAUAUCCAUCAAGGUCUCAAUAAAAACCUUGGCUUCAGUCCUGAAGACAGAGAGGAGACUGCACCACGUCACAGAGGUUGCUAAGCUGUUUGCUGAUGCUGGUUUAGUGUGCAUCACAAGUUUUAUCACCUUAUACAUAGGAUUGAACAAAUUUGCAAGGCAAAUUCAUGAGUGUGCAAGCUUACAUUUUUUUGAGGUAUUUGUUGAUGCUCCCCUGCAUGUUUAUGAACAAAGGGAUGUCAAAGGACUCUACAAGAAAGUGCAAGCAGGAGAAAUUAAAGGUUUCACUGGGAUGGAUUCUGAGUAUGAAAAACCAGAGGCCCCUGAGUUGGUGCUGAACACUGACUCCUGUGACAUUAAUGACUGUGUCCAGCAAGUGGUGGAGUGUCUACAGGAACGGGACAUCAUCCUUGUGGAUGCCUCUUACAAAGUAAAGAACUGUAUGUGCCAGAAAAAAAACUCCAUUUGUUAAAAACCAAUGCAGAAGCAUUUCAGCACUGAAGAUAAAUAAAGUGGAUAUGCAGCGCGUGCAGGUUUUGGCAGAAGGUUGGGCGAGUCCUCUGAAUGGCUUCAUGACAGAGAGAGGGAGUACUUGCAGUGCUUUAAUUUUGAUUGCCUUCUGGAUGGGGGUGUCAUUAACUUGUCAGUGCCUAUAGUUCCGACAGCUACACACGAGGACAAAGACUGGAUAACUGCACAGCAUUUGCUCUGAUGUAUGAGGGCAGCCGUGUGGCUAUUCUCCAAAAUCCAGAUUUUUUUUGAGCACAGAAAAGAGGAGCUUUGUGCCAGACAGUGGGGAACGACAUGCAAGAACCACCCACACAUUAAGAUGGUUAUGGAACAAGGAGAUUGGCUGAUUGGAGGAGAUCUUCAAGUCCUGGACCGAAUUUACUGGAAUGAUGGUCUUGAUCAGUAUCAUCUUACUCCAACUGAACUGAAGCAGAAGUUUAAAGAUAUGAAUGCUGACUCUGUGUCUGCAUUUCAGUUGCACAACCCAGUGCACAAUGGACAUACUAUGUUAAUGCAGGACACCCACAACAGCUUCUAGAGAGGAGCUACCAGCACCCUGUUCUCCUCCUUCACCCUCUUGGUGGCUGGACAAAAGAUGAUGACGUCCCUUUGACGUGGUGUAUGAAGUAGCAUGAUGUGGUGCUGGAGGAGGAAUCUUGAAUUCGGAAACGACAGCGGUAGCCAUCUUCCCGUCUUCCAUGAUGUAUACUGGGCCAACUGAAGUCCAGUGGCACUGCAAAACACACAUGGUUGCAUGAGGCAGUUUUUGUAUUAUUGGACGAGACCCUGCUGGCAUGCCCCAUCCAGAAUCAGGGAAGGACCUGUACGAUCCGACCCAUGGUGCCAAGGUGCUGACGGUGGCCCCUCGUCCAACCACCUUGUAAAUGUUCCCUUUAGAGUUGCAAAAUACAAGAAGCAGCGAAUCGACCACUAGACUCUGAACACUGUGAAGACUCUGAAUUCAUUUUGGGAACAAGAAUGCACAAACUUGCUCGUGAAGGUCAGAAGCCCCCUGAGGGUUUCAUGGCUCCUAAAGCCUGGAGAGUGAUGACAGAAUACUACAAGUCCUUGGAGAAAGCUUAA